UGUGUAGGCGGUUCUCUAAGUUUGGUGUGAAAUCUCCCGGCUCAACUGGGAGGGUGCGCCGAAUACUGAAGGACUAGAGUGCGGGAGAGGAGAGUGGAAUUCCUGGUGUAGCGGUGAAAUGCGUAGAUAUCAGGAGGAACACCGGUGGUGUAGGCGGCUCUCUGGACCGUAACUGACGCUGAAACACGAAAGCGUGGGUAGCAAACAGGAUUAGAUACCCUGGUAGUCCACGCCCUAAACGAUGCAUAUUUGGUGUGGGUCAUUCAGUUGAUCCGUGCCGGAGCUAACGCGUUAAAUAUGCCGCCGUGGGGAGUACAGUCGCAAGGCUAGAA
rnacentral:rRNA from 1 species